rnacentral:lncRNA from 10 species
UGACAGCGCAAUACAUAGCUCUUUAAGUAGUGUUAUUCAAGCAGGCUGUGGAGCAACCACUUACUAGAGAAAUGUGCAUAACUGGAAGGGAGCCAAGGGCUGAUAGCCAAGACAAUGGAGAAAAGGCCUCAAAGACACUUCAGAGAUCUCCCAGGCAGCAUCUCUCAUCACAGACUCAGAUAUCUAGGAGAACCAGGGGAUCAAAACUAUAAAA